rnacentral:misc_RNA from 1 species
GGAAGGAUCAUUAGUUAUAAUCCAUAUUGAAAUGGAAUUGAUUUAUUCUUUACUUUCAAAUCCUGUCGAUAAUUUUUUUAAUUUCCAACGAAAUAAAAAUGAGUAACCAAAUAUAACUUUUAACAAUGGAUCUCUUGGCUCUCGCAACGAUGAAGAACGCAGCGAAAUGCGAUAAGUAAUGUGAAUUGCAGAAUUCAGUGAAUCAUCGAAUCUUUGAACGCAUAUUGCGCCCUUUGGUAUCCCGGGGGGCAUGCCUGUUUGAAGGCCGGAAAGUCGGCUAUAUACCGAGGGUUUUAUAGCAAGUAUCAACUCUAUAUUUAUACUUAUCCUAGUAAUAAUAUACAGACGUACUGAAGUCACUGUCUUACACAUUUAAUUCAGCUGACACCUCUUAUAUCGUCGCUUCCGGUUAUGGGUACCUCUCCGUGCAAGCACAGAGAUGCUUGAAAGUAAGACACGAAUUGAAGUGCUUCCAUUUCUGCUGGAAUCAAUAUGUUGGCAUCCUGAACUUAUCAUCGCAAUGAAGAUCUGUUGAUGGGUUGGUCACAUUUUUUCGCAGAAGGAUACCUUUGUCAUGUCACUAGUUCCAAGGAGGUGUGGAGGCUUGCCUUCCAUCUAGUUUUAUACGCUUCAAAUCAGGUAGGAGUACCCGCUGAACUUAAGCAUAUUAAUAAGCGGAGGAAAAGAAACUAACAAGGAUUCCCCUAGUAACGGCGAGUGAAGCGGGAAGAGCUCAAAAUUAGAAUCUGAAUAGUCCGCUAUUCCGAAUUGUUAUCUAUGGGUCGGAUCUUGGUCCUCAGUAUCGGUAUAAAUCCUUUGGAACAGGGUAUCGUAGAGGGUGAAAAUCCCGUCUUUGGACCGAUAACGCUGAUGUGACCGGUAGAGAUCAUACCCUCAGUGAGUCGCAUUGUUUGGGAAUGCAGUGCAAAUAGGGUGGUAAAUUUCAUCCAAAGCUAAAUAAUGGCGAGAGACGAUAGCGAACAAGUACCGUGAGGGAAAGAUGAAAAGAACUUUGAAAAGAGAGUUAAAUAGUACGUGAAAUUGUUAAUAGGGAAACGCAUGGAAUUAGUAAUCUCUAACGGCAAAUCAAGCCUGUUUAGUUAUUGUGUAAAUCUAUAAGUCCAUCUGAAUAAGAUGAAGACUUUGUAGAGAUAUGCAAUGACCGGUUGCACUUUGCUGUAGAGAGGUCAACAUCAGUUUGGAUCCAACGGACAAACUUUUGGUGGAAUGUGGCCGCACUCGCGGGUGUUAUAGCUGCCAUUUGCCUACGUUGAUCUGAACUGAGGAAUGCAGUGCUGAACACGAUAAUUUGGCUCUUCUGGCUCCUUGGUGCUAUAGCAGGCCAACCUGUUGACUGCUGUGGCUCUAAAGCAGAAGGAUAUCUUAUCAGUUAAAGCACUUAGGAUGUUGACGAAAUGGUUCUAUACGACCCGUCUUGAAACACGGACCAAGGAGUCUAACAUAUAUGCGAGUAUUCGGGUGGCAAACCCGGAUGCGAAAUGAAAGUGACACGAAUGUGAAACGCAAGUGGCAACAUCAGCCAAUCUUGAAAUUAUUGGAUAGAUUUGAGUUGGAGCAUAUCUGUUGGGACCCGAAAGAUGGUGAACUAUACUUGAAUAGGGUGAAGCCAGAGGAAACUCUGGUGGAGGCUCGUAGCGAUUCUGACGUGCAAAUCGAUCGUCAAAUUUGAGUAUAGGGGCGAAAGACUAAUCGAACCAUCUAGUAGCUGGUUCCUGC